ensembl:snoRNA
CUUGCCCCUAGAGCCAUUGCAGGUAUGACUGCUGUGUCAUUUAUGUGUCAGUAGGUGGCAGAGAGGAGAGAAAGUAUGUCUAUGUUUCCCCUGGGUGUUCUGACCUGUCGACGUCGGAAUGAUUAGUAGCCUAGCAUU